rnacentral:rRNA from 1 species
UACGUAGGGUGCGAGCGUUGUCCGGAAUUAUUGGGCGUAAAGAGCUCGUAGGCGGUUUGUCGCGUCGACUGUGAAAACCUACAGCUUAACUGUGGGCUUGCAGUCGAUACGGGCAGACGUUGAGUUCGGUAGGGGAGACUGGAAUUCCUGGUGUAGCGGUGAAAUGCGCAGAUAUCAGGAGGAACACCGGUGGCGAAGGCGGCAUCCUGGACCGAGAUUGACGCUGAACGGCGAAAAGCUGAGGGGAGCAA